GCCCGGGUGGCGAAAUUGGUAGACGCAAGGGACUUAAAAUCCCUCGGUAGCGAUACCGUGCCGGUUCGAGUCCGGCCCCGGGCACCA
rnacentral:tRNA from 1 species